AUGAACGCUAGCUACAGGCUUAACACAUGCAAGUCGAGGGGCAUCAGGAAGAAAGCUUGCUUUCUUUGCUGGCGACCGGCGCACGGGUGAGUAACACGUAUCCAACCUGCCCUUUACUCGGGGAUAGCCUUUCGAAAGAAAGAUUAAUACCCGAUAGCAUAAUGAUUCCGCAUGGUUUCAUUAUUAAAGGAUUCCGGUAAAGGAUGGGGAUGCGUUCCAUUAGGUUGUUGGUGGGGUAACGGCCCACCAAGCCUUCGAUGGAUAGGGGUUCUGAGAGGAAGGUCCCCCACAUUGGAACUGAGACACGGUCCAAACUCCUACGGGAGGCAGCAGUGAGGAAUAUUGGUCAAUGGGCGCUAGCCUGAACCAGCCAAGUAGCGUGAAGGAUGAAGGCUCUAUGGGUCGUAAACUUCUUUUAUAUAAGAAUAAAGUGCAGUAUGUAUACUGUUUUGUAUGUAUUAUAUGAAUAAGGAUCGGCUAACUCCGUGCCAGCAGCCGCGGUAAUACGGAGGAUCCGAGCGUUAUCCGGAUUUAUUGGGUUUAAAGGGAGCGUAGGUGGACUGGUAAGUCAGUUGUGAAAGUUUGCGGCUCAACCGUAAAAUUGCAGUUGAUACUGUCAGUCUUGAGUACAGUAGAGGUGGGCGGAAUUCGUGGUGUAGCGGUGAAAUGCUUAGAUAUCACGAAGAACUCCGAUUGCGAAGGCAGCUCACUGGACUGCAACUGACACUGAUGCUCGAAAGUGUGGGUAUCAAACAGGAUUAGAUACCCUGGUAGUCCACACAGUAAACGAUGAAUACUCGCUGUUUGCGAUAUACAGUAAGCGGCCAAGCGAAAGCAUUAAGUAUUCCACCUGGGGAGUACGCCGGCAACGGUGAAACUCAAAGGAAUUGACGGGGGCCCGCACAAGCGGAGGAACAUGUGGUUUAAUUCGAUGAUACGCGAGGAACCUUACCCGGGCUUAAAUUGCAGUGGAAUGAUGUGGAAACAUGUCAGUGAGCAAUCACCGCUGUGAAGGUGCUGCAUGGUUGUCGUCAGCUCGUGCCGUGAGGUGUCGGCUUAAGUGCCAUAACGAGCGCAACCCUUAUCUUCAGUUACUAACAGGUCAUGCUGAGGACUCUGGAGAGACUGCCGUCGUAAGAUGUGAGGAAGGUGGGGAUGACGUCAAAUCAGCACGGCCCUUACGUCCGGGGCUACACACGUGUUACAAUGGGGGGUACAGAAGGCAGCUAGCGGGUGACCGUAUGCUAAUCCCAAAAUCCUCUCUCAGUUCGGAUCGAAGUCUGCAACCCGACUUCGUGAAGCUGGAUUCGCUAGUAAUCGCGCAUCAGCCACGGCGCGGUGAAUACGUUCCCGGGCCUUGUACACACCGCCCGUCAAGCCAUGGGAGCCGGGGGUACCUGAAGUACGUAACCGCAAGGAUCGUCCUAGGGUAAAACUGGUGACUGGGGCU
rnacentral:rRNA from 1 species